GACGAACGCUGGCGGCGUGCUUAACACAUGCAAGUCGAACGAUGAAGCCGGAGCUUGCUCUGGUGAAUUAGUGGCGAACGGGUGAGUAACACGUGAGUAACCUGCCCUUGGCUCUGGGAUAACUGUGGGAAACUGUAGCUAAUACCGGAUACGACCCUCGGAGGCAUCUCCUGGGGGUGGAAAGAAUUUCGGUCAAGGAUGGACUCGCGGCCUAUCAGCUAGUUGGUGAGGUAAAGGCUCACCAAGGCGACGACGGGUAGCCGGCCUGAGAGGGUGACCGGCCACACUGGGACUGAGACACGGCCCAGACUCCUACGGGAGGCAGCAGUGGGGAAUAUUGCACAAUGGGCGCAAGCCUGAUGCAGCAACGCCGCGUGAGGGAUGACGGCCUUCGGGUUGUAAACCUCUUUUAGCAGGGAAGAAGCGAAAGUGACGGUACCUGCAGAAAAAGCACCGGCUAACUACGUGCCAGCAGCCGCCGUAA
rnacentral:rRNA from 1 species